rnacentral:rRNA from 1 species
AUCAGUGUGUGUGUUAGUGGAAGCGUCUGGAAAGGCGCGCGAUACAGGGUGACAGCCCCGUACACAAAAAUGCACAUACUGUGAGCUCGAUGAGUAGGGCGGGACACGUGGUAUCCUGUCUGAAUAUGGGGGGACCAUCCUCCAAGGCUAAAUACUCCUGACUGACCGAUAGUGAACCAGUACCGUGAGGGAAAGGCGAAAAGAACCCCGGCGAGGGGAGUGAAAAAGAACCUGAAACCGUGUACGUACAAGCAGUGGGAGCACGCUUAGGCGUGUGACUGCGUACCUUUUGUAUAAUGGGUCAGCGACUUAUAUUCUGUAGCAAGGUUAACCGAAUAGGGGAGCCGAAGGGAAACCGAGUCUUAACUGGGCGUUAAGUUGCAGGGUAUAGACCCGAAACCCGGUGAUCUAGCCAUGGGCAGGUUGAAGGUUGGGUAACACUAACUGGAGGACCGAACCGACUAAUG